CUUUUAUUAGAGAGUUCCACAAGCUAUGGUAAAAGAAGAGUUCGGCAAAUGAUGUAAGAGUAAUUCGAGUUCUGUGAGGGAUCCGAGUUCUUCCGCCUGCUAUGCAAUACAGACUAUGCAAGAUAUCCUAAACAGUAUUGAAA